GAUGAACGCUGGCGGCGUGCCUAAUACAUGCAAGUCGAGCGAACAGACGAGGAGCUUGCUCCUCUUACGUUAGCGGCGGACGGGUGAGUAACACGUGGAUAACCUACCUAUAAGACUGGGAUAACUGCGGGAAACCGGAGCUAAUACCGGAUAAUAUAUUCAACCGCAUGGUUCAAUAGUGAAAGACGGUUUUGCUGUCACUUAUAGAUGGAACCGCGCCGCAUUAGCUAGUUGGUAAGGUAACGGCUUACCAAGGCAACGAUGCGUAGCCGACCUGAGAGGGUGAUCGGCCACACUGGAACUGAGACACGGUCCAGACUCCUACGGGAGGCAGCAGUAGGGAAUCUUCCGCAAUGGGCGAAAGCUUGACGGAGCAACGCCGCGUGAGUGAUGAAGGUCUUCGGAUCGUAAAACUCUGUUAUUAGGGAAGAACAAAUGUGUAAGUAACUAUGCACGUCUUGACGGUACCUAAUCAGAAAGCCACGGCUAACUACGUG
rnacentral:rRNA from 1 species